AGAAGAAGAUGGCGACGAAGUGAAGGUGGAAGGUGUGGAAACAAAGAACGACAUUUACAAGAUAAUGCAAGUCCAUGAGGAAAAACAAUAGAAGAACCUAUUAGUUAUAGUGUUAAUAUGGUCUGCUUGACUUACCUUGAUCCUGAGUCUUGAGGUGCUGUCCAAUUUUUCUUGCAUGAACCUACCUGGAUUUGAACCACUUACCUUAUGUCCUGCUUGCCCUCUUCUURACCAGUAUACCAUCAGCUAGUUUGUUGAAGKURUAGKUUUUGAAGUACCUUAAAUCAUAGUGCUUUGUAUUGACGUGAAYAUGAAUGACCUAAUAAAAAUUCCAAUGAAUA